rnacentral:tRNA from 1 species
AACGUGCAUAUAAUUUUAUAAAAAAAUAUUAGAUUGUGAUUCUAAAAAUGAAAGUUAAACCCUUUCUACGCACC